UUGUAUUGUGGACUGCAUGGUCGCCAG
rnacentral:sRNA from 1 species